AAUUUGCGACAAUGGGGGAAACCCCGCUCCAGCCAUCCCGCGUGUAUGAUGAAGGCCUUCGGGUUGUAAAGUUCUUUUGGCCGCGAAGAAACGGUAUCUACUAAUACGAGAUACUGCUGACGGCACCUGCAGAAUAAGCACCGGCUAACUACGUGCCAGCAGCCGCGGUAAUAUGUAGGAUGCAAGCGUUAAUCGGAAUUACUGGGCGUAAAGCGUGUGUAGGCGGUUCGGAAAGAAAGAUGUGAAAUCCCAGGGCUCAACCUUGGAACUGCAUUUUUAACUGCCGAGCUAGAGUAUGUCAGAGGGGGGUAGAAUUCCACGUGUAGCAGUGAAAUGCGUAGAUAUGUGGAGGAAUACCGAUGGCGAAGGCAGCCCCCUGGGAUAAUACUGACGCUCAGACACGAAAGCGUGGGGAGCAAACA
rnacentral:rRNA from 1 species